CACACACACUCACACGCACACACACACACUCACACGCACACACACACACACACACACACACACACACACACACACAGAAGCAAACACUCAUCUCACUGUCAAACUCAUAUGCCCGCCCACACACUAAUACACCCUUUCACAGACUCUGCAGUUUCACCCAGCGUGGCAGAUGUCAGUGUCGAGAGCGAUCAGUUAUCUAAGCUGCUCUCUCUCCCCACCGCUAAUCUGAGUGUGUAACCUGAGACUGGCAGUACAAGAAAGAAAACACUCCUGCAUUCCUGCUAUGUUCAAAAGGCUUGACCAGUGAGCCAUUUUUAUUCAACUGAUGUUGAGGUAAAAUGCCUGGUUCACACUAUAAGUCGCACCUGUCUGUGUGUGUGUGUGUGUGUGUGUGUGUGUAUGUGUGUGUGUUUUUGUGUAUAUGUGUGUGUGUGUGUGUGUGUGUGUGUGUGUGUGUGUGUGUGUGUGUGUGUGUGUGUGUGUGUGUGUGUGUGUGUGUGUCAGACAUCGAGAAUGUUUGGAGUGCUAUGUUCGGAUUUUGUCCUGCUGUGUAGAUGUUGUAGAUGUUGAUGUAGAAUUGCAAAUUCUCAGUUUGUAAAAAGCUUCAAGUGUGAAUUACAAAUCUGAAUAAUUAAGAUUUGUGUGAGCUCUGUGUAUGAUGUCUUUGUGUGAGUAAGACAGGUUAGCACAGAAAGGUAUUUGUCACAGGAACUAGGAACUCUAUCGUAGCGUACGUAGGACAUAGAGGGCACAUAGAACAUUUUGUGGUAUCCUUUUGCUGUGUUUGGUGACAUGCUGUGUGAUUUGUACAAAAUGUUAUUUUGUCACAAAUAAAGUUUAAUUUGAAAUAAUAUAACUCUCAGAGACCCAUGUGUUGAAUGAGUUGUUUUAUUUCAGGUUUUUGCUGUAAAAUGGCAUUCACUUUAGGUUAGACAACACAAUCAAGGUUUGGCCCAACCACAAAAAAAUGAAUGGAUCUUUGCAGGAUAUGACUUUGUAAACAAAGCUGAC
ensembl:lncRNA